AAAGUGAUGAAACAAAGUAUCUUUAAACCCUGCAAGCUAUUUGGCAUAGGAAGGUCUUGACCUGAGAAAACCAUCUUGGAUAACCGUAGCAAGGAGAAGGAAAAAUGCAACACCUAGGAGAUUUCAGUAAACAGUAGAAUCAUGCCAACCUAAUCUGUGUUAAAAUGCUUGGAAUGUGGGAGCCGCUGAUGAUGCCUGUUGUCUGUGUGUCUGACUGAAUCCUUUCUUUUCUCAGAGCAGCAAAGCAAAGCCUGGGAACCAGGCCAAAUGCCUGCCACUUACCUUAAAUUGAUCAGCUACUUUGAGAUUAAAACCCCUGAAAGCUGCCACACCAUGAAAACAAGGCCUCCUUCACAUUAAAGGCAAAUUGCGACUUUG